rnacentral:lncRNA from 1 species
AAAAACCAACCAAAAAAACAUGGGAUCCCAUGGGAAUUGUUUUGUCUUGCAGGUAAAGGUGUAUUUUGUGAGAAGCUGCCCAGCUUAGACCGCUUUGUUGCGGAAUCCUGUUUCGAGGAAGCCGAAAUCCGAGGAAGACCACUCGUGUGUGGGUUCUACAAGUAUGCAAGCCUUGCUGCCCAGACCUAGCUGAACGUGUAUGAACCUCCACACAGGUGUGAAUUUACAGUGGGUGUGUACGUAUGGCUCUCGUAGACGUUUCGACCCAGCCCUGCAGUACUUGCACAAGCGGGUGAACGAGAACGACAGCCUUGGCAGGAUACAGCGGAUUUCGUCCAUCACCCGCCUCUACCCCCAUCCCACUGUGAACAGAAUCAAAUCAUCUGGUAUGAGGAUUAAGUUUCGUUUGCGGGCAACUUUUCUUCACGCCUUGCAUAGCAAACGAGACAGGAUUUUCUAUUCUGCUUUCCAUACUUCACUUAUUUUAGUCAAAAGAUCUGUUGACUUCAAAUUGAAUGUUUGAGUUAUGGACAAUGCAUAUUUUCACCGCAGGACUGCGGUCAUACUGUUGAGAGCUGUAAUCCCCUUUUGGAUGAAAUUGGUUCUCUCUACAGGCGGGAUCUUCUACAGCUUGGCGGUUCAUGACAUCGAUGUCAUCUGUUGGCUGUUGGGAGAACGGGCUCCAGACACCAUCUUUUCCUUGGGUCAUGCCUUCUGUGCAGAGCUCGCUGCCCUCAAUGAUGCCGACUCCAUCUCCAUCUGCAUGAAGUUCUCUAGCGGUGCUGUGGCCUCCCUGGAUGUCAGCCAGCAUUGCAGCAAGAGCUGCGACCAAAGACUGGAGGUCCAUGGGUCCGAGGGCUCCUUGCAGAUGGAGAACAAGAACCCCCUGGGCAUCUCAGACUUCAGCUCCUCUCCAGCCCCACGGCCCCAGCUUGCCAUUGACCGCUUCCAGGAUGCCUACCGUGAACUGCUGCGGCACUUCCUACGGACGCUCAGGGGUCAGGUCACGUGA